AAUCUCCCGAAAUGGACGAAAGCCUGCCGGAGCAAGCCCGCGGGGGUGAGGAAGGCCUUCGGACGGUAAAACUCGGUUUUUGGGGAGGAACAAGAACCGCCGGAAAAGGCCGGUACCUGAACGGUACUUACCCAGAAGGCCACGGCAACCUACUUCCCGCCAGCCGCGGUAAUACGUAGGUGGCAAGCGUUAUCCGGAAUUAUUGGGCGUAAAGCGCGCGCAGGCGGUUUCUUAAGUCUGAUGUGAAAGCCCACGGCUCAACCGUGGAGGGUCAUUGGAAACUGGGAAGCUUGAGUGCAGAAGAGGAGAGUGGAAUUCCAUGUGUAGCGGUGAAAUGCGUAGAGAUAUGGAGGAACACCUGUGGCGAAGGCGACUCUCUGGUCUGCAACUGACGCUGAGGCGCGAAAGCGUGGGGAGCGAACA
rnacentral:rRNA from 1 species